CGUAAAAUCUGGUGGGAAUUUCACCUCGAAAUAUUGCAUCCAAGAUCUUUUGAUGUUCCACACUGGAUUUAUUUGCAGGAUAGAAAAAGUGGAUGGUAAUAUAAUGUUUACUAAGAUAUGUUUGCUUUAUUUCAAGAUUCCAAAAGGCAACUUCUUAUGUGAACAUCACACCUUCCGAGAGAGGCGAUUUCUUUACAUGACUCUUCAAUGCUCAGUUGGAUUGCAGCAUCAAGAAGGUCAUCAUCCUCAUCUAGGUCACCUGAUGGAUCCAUUUUCCUGGAGACGACAGAGGUGCUUCAGGGAUCAUGGGUUGUCUGGAACAAAUUCAAAAGCUAUUAGGCUGCGUUCCCUGAGACUAGAGAACCAUCGAUCUGUUGCUAGAGAACAGAUUGGAUCUCAGACGUGAGCAGAGGGGGACGCGGCUGACAUAGUCCAGUAGGAUCAGUACCGCUCGUCCCGACAGGUCAACCAGGCAGCACGGACUCAUGAAGUCACAG